rnacentral:rRNA from 1 species
UACGGAGGGGGCUAGCGUUGUUCGGAAUUACUGGGCGUAAAGCGCACGUAGGCGGCUUUGCAAGUCAGAGGUGAAAGCCCGGGGCUCAACCCCGGAAUUGCCUUUGAGACUGCAUCGCUAGAAUUGUGGAGAGGUAAGUGGAAUUCCGAGUGUAGAGGUGAAAUUCGUAGAUAUUGGGAAGAACACCGGUGGCGAAGGCGGCGACCUGGUCCGAUACUGACGCUGAGGCGCGAAAGCGUGGGGAGCAAACAGGG